rnacentral:lncRNA from 1 species
CUCCAGCUGGCUUUCCAGGGGAGGACAUCGGGGUUCUGAAGGCCUGAAGCUCACCCAGUUCGGGGCCCUCUUUACAAACAAAGAGCUCGGGAUGGCAGGUACAGGGUGCGUAGGAGGGGCUCAUUCAGAAGGGAACCCUGUGCGGAAUCACAAGAGCUGGUGACCGUCCCACAGACAGCACUGCCAGCGCAGGGGAGGGGCAGCUCCAGGCCCCGGGAGGCUCUCCCUGACGCUGCUGACCUGCUCAGUUCCCUGCUCUGUCACAGAUCACCCAGAACCUCUGCUUCACGUCACCACUGGCGUCACACCGCUGGUGACCCGUCACUCCUGUGAGCUGGAGUCAGGGUCCGAGGCGGCCCACUCUACAUGGGCAGCCUGCUUGGGCGCUUCCAGGUGGGGCUCCUCAGCCGGGCCACCCUGAGGGUGGUCCUGGGUCUAGCCUUGUAGUGAUGUCAGAGUAACUGGGAAUUUUGAACACCACCGCAGCUGCCCAAGCCCUGCCAACCUGGGGUGACGUCCCUGUCUGAACCUCCCUCCCGGUUGCUUGGAAGCACAGGAGUCCUGAGGGCCAGGUCAGCACUUUGCAGGAGCAGAGAGGAGGUUCCAAGGCUCCAAGGGCGAGGGGCCAGGCCAGAGGGCGGUGAUGUUCUGGCUAACCUCACCCUGCGUCCCACCUUCCACAUGACUCCUAUUUCCCAGGGCAGUGUCCCAAGCAUGCGGUGGGUGGGAGAAGCGGAGGCCUGGAGGGAGCACAGUCACCCGCGCAGAGGCUCAGGAGUGUCUCAGGGGACUGCACCGCAAGCGACUUCUGUCAAUAUUAGCAGCAGAGAGAAAGGUGGAUGUCAGAGUUUCUGAACGUGCUCUGCCACCUGUUGCCUAGUGGACUGAGUUUCUAAAGCCACCGUAAAGUGCCACCAUCAGUGACCUGGAACAGCAGAGGCUGUCCUCCCACUGACUGGAGGUUGAAGUCCAAGAUCAAGAUGUCAGCAAGAAACCAAUUCACUCACCUCCGGAGCUGAAUGUCUGCGUCCUUCCCCAAGGAGGUGGUGUGAGCCAGGGGACCCUGGAAGCCACUAGGUCAGGAGGGUGGAGCCCUGAUGGAUGGAUUAGCACCUGGGGAAGGGACCCCCGAGACUGACCAAGUUAUGUUAAGUGCGUGUGUGAAUACGCCGCAACGUACCCUCGCCAUGCACCAACUGAGAGAGAGGAGAGCCCGUCCCUGUCAUGGUGUGAAAACGUGGCGGGAAGGAGCACCCACAAGCCAGCCAAGGGCCUCGGACACCCCAUCUGUCAGCCUCGUGAUCCGGGCCCUGCAGCCUCCACAGCUGUGACGAGUGAAUUCUGUCCUUCACGAGCAGGGGCAGGGCCUGGAGGAAGUCCUGAAUGGGUCACCCUGCGGUCACCACUCCCUCAGGGUUGGUUCUUGACUCCACCAUGGAAAAGUCAGGCCAAACACACCCUGGGUCUUCUCUCCAUGAAAGAAAAGAUGGUCACACGACAGGGACUGGCCUUCCUAAGCAGAAGAGAAAGGGGACGCUUCCAGGUGGGGCAAGAUGGAAAGAAGCCCAAGAGGCCUGUUCAGGGACCCAGUGGCCUCUGACUUCGGAAUGGCCAGGGCUGGGCCAAGAGGAGCACGCAGAGGAGUCUUGGCGUGUGGGAGGGUGCCAACGGACAGGUGUUUGGGGCUCAUGAAGCACUAAAGCCCAAAGAACGUGGAAUGUGGGGUACACACUGUGACUCCUGAGUCACGGCCCAGCCAGGGCAGCCAUCACGUGUGUCCUCAGCAGUCCAGUGGCCACCAGCUCUGGAGGUGGCCCUUGCCACUCUAGAAAACCUCACCAUUUAGUCAGAUACAGGGAUAUCCCGCUGCAGGAGACCAAGUCCAUGGCCUGGAAAGGGGCUGGAAACCACCCUGGGUUGUCCCCAUGGGUCCCACCCUCGGCAUCAUCCUCACCCUUGCCCUGCGGAACCACGGGCUGUGCUGGAAGGCGAGCGACUCCAGCCCUGCCUUGCCCGAGUAGAGGCCUGGACUCUGCAGACGCAGACGCACUCCAUGGUGAGACCCUGGGCUCCAACAUCCCCAAAGACGGAGCUCUCUACCAGAGUAAGGAAGGUUGGUUUCCAGGGAGGUUAGGGAUUCUGCAGACAGGCUGCUCUCCUGCAACCGGAAUGUGGAUAACGGAGACCCUUCCGGCCUGACUCUGCGGGCUAAGACCAAGGGUUCAGACGUUCGCUGUUUGAGCUCUCCAGGACCCACAGCCACCUGCAGACUUGGAUGAGCCGCUUGCUCCACAGAAAAAGCAAGGCAGGAGCCCUCUUGAUGGGAGACAGGGGCACAGAAGUGGGGGCCAAGAACGCCUUCCCACAGCACCUGCAGGUCCCCAGAGAGCAGCUUCCUGCAGUGUGCACUCUCUCCUCUGGCACACCCUCCUCCCCUGCCCAGUGAGCUACAGUCAGGAAGAGCUAGAAUCCCUUGCAUCCCGCGUCCUGGCUCUGCCCCUCCCCGGACCUACAGAAGUUCCUGGUUCGCAGGUAGGUGAGCAGAGUCUGCGUGGAGCUGGCUGCCAGCUUGUGCACAGCCCUUAGAGGGUGCCCGGUCCACACAGCAUACCAUCUGGGCUCCAGCCUGCCAGCAGGCCACCCCUGGCACUUGGCUCCACCUUCCUGAGCCCGAGUUUUUGUCUGUUAAUAAAUGGUGGCAACAAACCUGCUAGGACUAUUGUGAAUAGAAAGGGAAAGUGCAAGAAAAGAGCUCAGCACAGGAAGCGAGCAGUGAGCACUUAGUAAGAGCGGCCAGCACCUUACAAGGGAGUGAGCUAGUGUCAGAUCUGAGGGUUCCCAAGGCAGCUGGGCUAUUUGAAAACAAAAACAUUCUUUAUUUUUUAGUUCUGGCGUGUAGAAAGCUUCCCAGGGUACUUUUGGUAAGAAACAACCAGAAAGACUAACAUUUUGUACUUUUGGUGUUUGGUUACAGGACAGGGUGGGGAGAGGUGAGCAGACGCUGUGGACUCUCAGCAGCCCUCAGCGGCCGUCCCCAAAUCAGACAAAGGGAUCUGUGGACUCUCAGCAGCCCUCAGCGGCCGUCCCCAAGUCAGACAAAAGGGAUGGGCCCCACUCCCUGUGCCCCGAGCUGUGUGCAGAGCUCCCCCAGCCCAGGCCUUGCUGGGCACCUGCCUCCUGAUGGGGUGUGUGCCCCUCUCACUGCAGAAGGUUGGCGUGAAGAGUCCCAAGUUCGCACCAACAGGCGAGACCUGCUUGAGGCAUGGCUCUGGGAGCUCAGGGCAUUGUUGAGAAGCACGGAGGCUGGGAGGUUCCAGCAGGGUGUGGCCAGGCUGCCCUGACCCAGACAGGAAGACCCAUGGAACAUGGGAGGGAGUGCACACCAGUCCUUGCUCUGUAGAAGGAAGUCUGUUUAGCAUCGGGCUCCGUGGUGGUGCACACCUGUGAUGCCAGCUUUGCCAGGGCUAAGGCAGGAGGAUCUCAAGUUCAAGGGCACCUCAGCAACUUAGGGAGGCCCUGUCUCCAAAUAAAAGGCAAAAGGACGGGGUGCAGCUCAGUGGUAGAGGGCUUGCUUCAUAGAGUGCAGGAGACCCCGGGCUUACCCCCCAUACAAAAGAAAGAGGAAGAGGAAGGGAGGGAAGGAAAGAAGGAAACUCAGGGAGGGAGGAGGCGAGAUCACGACCACCUGGCGUGAAGCAGUCUCAAGGCCUGUGGCCAGGUCCUCAGGUGCGGGGCCAGUGUCACUCUCAGGGUGGGGGGAGGGCCUCAGUGGGCUGAAGAAGGCCCUGAUGGCACAAGAACACAGCAGGCUCUCUGGGGCGGCCGGCUGUGACGAUGGGGGCGCCGGCUCUGUACCGUCCCUGUGAGCCCCAGCGCACCAGGGGUUUGCCCUUUGGGGUCCUGCAUGCCUGGGCCCUGCCGCUCGGUAUUGUUUUCUCAGCUUUUGAAGUUGGCGACGAGAACAGCCGGAGCUGCACGUCGGUCGUUGGGUCCUUUCCAGAAGGGUCUGACUGGUCACUGGAGGACCGGCUGCAUUUCCCAGGGCCACAGACCAGGAGCCUGCAGACGGCAGGACUUCCUUCCCUCAGUUCUGGGAGCCAGAACCUGAAGUGUGUCUGUGCAGCCACACACCUGCGGGACAGAGGGGGCUCUCUGAGCUCUCUCCCCUCUCCUGGUGCUGCCACGCCCCUGGUGCACCUGGCGUGAAGAGUCCCAAGUUUGCAUCAAAAGGCGAGACCUGCCUCAGGCGUGACUCUGGGAGCGGCACCACGGCCAGUCUUGUCCUCGGAGGUCUCCUGGCCCCUGCCCAGUGCCUAUCUUCAUGGCACUUCACGCUUCUUACAAGACUCCAGCCACUCCAGGGGGGCCCCCCCCCGAAGGCCCCACCUCAGCCUGAUGGCAGUGCAAAGGCCCUGUUUCCCAACAAGCUCGCGCUCAAGGAGGCGGAGGCUGGAAUGUCCUCGCACAUUGUGGGAGGACACAGCCCAACCCACGGCAGUGCAGAUUUCAGGCACGGAGCAUCUGUCAACUGAAGCCCCGGGUGAGGAGCGUCCCACUCUGAACCUCCCUCCACUUUCUCCGGGCCUGUGUCCACUUGAACUAGCCAGGUGGUUUGUUCUGCUUCCUGCCUCACCUCCUCUGAAAGCCCGUCCCUUGAGGCUGGAACUUGGGAAAGGGCUGGUGCUCUGCUUCCUCCCAAGCCUCUCCUGAGUCCAGAGGACUUCCCGUUUUCCGCCCUGAAGGUGAAGUUCACUAGUUACGGGAAGCACCGCCCGGCCCGCCCUAGGCUGGAGGCCUCGCUUGCUUGUCUCUCUCACAUGACCACCUCAGGAACCAGUGUGGCACCAGGAGUGCAGGACGUGGACCUGGCUGGGCCUACCGGCUCCUCCUGGCCCCUGAGCACCGUGAAGAGAAAAGAGGGACUUUGAGCCGGGUGGAGGAGAGGCUGCUGAAGAGAGCCGUGAAUCAGGGGAGACAAGAAGCUUUUAACCACUGGGCUGCAAAGUCGAGCCACAGAGAAGCAGGUCUGAGUCACGCUUUCUGUCAUGGACAGAAUUUACCUCGGUCCGGCCAGUGAAAAUGCUCUUGCAAUACAAAACAAACCAGCCCUGACCGCUUAGUUGAGAACACAGGAACUCGUCUCUUGGUAAGAGAGGAAUUGUCCACCUUGGCGUUAAGGACUUUCUCAGGAUGAUAUUGAGAUCCUAGCGGGCCUGGUGCAGGGUACUAUGUACACAUUGUCAUUUCAAAGCCAAUGUCAAAGUGACACUCCAGAAUCAUUUUUCAAAACUAAGAGAUAUGGGAGAAUUUAACACACAAAGACACUGAAUCCUUAGAAAAAAACACAAGCUGUCGAUGAAUGAAGGCCAGAGAGUGAAGGACACACUUUCCCAGGUUAGUAUAGAGCAAGCAGGGGGAAUCCAUGGGCCGGGUACAUGUGCCUGUCCCCUUCCUAGAGCAGCAGAGGAGGGAAUGGGAGGGAUGCUAGGUGACCUCGCGGGAUCAUUGCACACACUCACUCCCAGAGCAACCGCCGACUCUUCUACGCAAAGUGAUGAUCAAGAGAAAUAGUAAAAUGCUGAGUCCGAGGAAGCUGAGCAGGGGCCCACUGUUGUGAAAUGGUUGACCCAGGGCAGCACACACCCAGAGGGCCCUGCCGCCUGGCCUCCCUCUGCAGGGUCAUCUCAGAAUGGAGUGCCCACUGGGGCUGCACUAGGGUGUCCUCGGGAGGGGAAGCAGGCUGUGGUAUAGGACAGCAACGGGAACGUGACUGAGGACUCAUCAUCCGAGACUCACACCUGCGCAGACCUGGGGGAGGGGUCCGGCACUUCAGGUGGCCUCCUGACACAGGCAACAGGCACGCUUCAGAUGAGCGGAGGCCACUCUGCCGUGAGGACUGGAGUGCAGCACAGGCUGGCCCCAGGUGCGCCAUGUCCACUGGGUCAGUUGACCACCCUAGAGCUUUGAGGAGGAGCAGGGCCCCGGCUGGACUCCACUGUGGCCAGACAGGCCAGGCUCGGUGCCAUUGGAGACCUCCUGCACCUCCAGCUGUGACGUGGGAGAUGGAGUCCCCGGGCCCAGGCAGGCCUGCUGUUGGCUGCAGGGAGUGUGCCAGCCAGGGAGGCUUCAGAGCAACAGAUUUUACUGAAGGCCAUGUGUCCAUGGUGUGCCGGGCCCUGAGAACAGGAGGCCACGAGGCACAACCUCACCCUUGGGAGCUGAACACACAGCCCCAGACCCUGACACCACCAGGGAGGUCACCCAAGGGGCAGAAGGCACAGAAGCAGAGAAGAGCCAGGGAAGGGGGAGGGGAGACGGGCCUUUCCCCUGAGGACCUGCCUCCGGAGCCUGGGCCUGGGGCUGCACUUGCCCUGUCCGCUCUCAGGUCUACCCGGUGUGGCCCUGGCGCCGAGCACUGGGGAGCGUGGCUGUGGGCCUGAGCCUCUGGCUCUUGCCUGGAGCCUGGUGGACGUGUGGUGCUCUGGGCAAGUCCCUGAUCGCUCCUGGACCCUGGUUCCCUCAUACGUAGAGUGAGGGGGCUAGCAGAGAGACUUGUAUGGCCCCUUGGGGGAACAUUAUCCUUAGGACUCAAGACCUCCUGAAGAUUCGUCCACAGUUUUCUAAGACCGCGUGGGCUCAACUCCACACUACCAGGCAGACUCACCCUGGCACAGAUGCCAGUGGCGAACUGGGCUGGAAUUCACCC